rnacentral:rRNA from 1 species
UGGUGCUCCGGGGGGCCGCAGUGAGGAAUAUUGGUCAAUGGGCGCAAGCCUGCCCCCUCCAAGUCGCGUGAGGGAAGACGGCCCUACGGGUUGUAAACCUCUUUUGCCGGGGAGCAAGCCUGAGCACGUGUGCCCAGGCGGAGAGUACCCGGAGAAAAAGCAUCGGCUAACUCCGUGCCAGCAGCCGCGGUAAUACGGAGGAUGCGAGCGUUAUCCGGAUUUAUUGGGUUUAAAGGGUGCGCAGGCGGGCUGUUAAGCCGGCGGGAAAAAUUCAGGG